rnacentral:rRNA from 1 species
GACGAACGCUGGCGGCGUGCUUAACACAUGCAAGUCGAACGGAAAGGCCCUGCUUUUGUGGGGUGCUCGAGUGGCGAACGGGUGAGUAACACGUGAGUAACCUGCCCUUGACUUUGGGAUAACUUCAGGAAACUGGGGCUAAUACCGGAUAGGAGCUCCUGCUGCAUGGUGGGGGUUGGAAAGUUUCGGCGGUUGGGGAUGGACCCGCGGCUUAUCGGCUUGUUGGUGGGGUAGUGGCUUACCAAGGCCUUGACGGGUAGCCGGCCUGAGAGGGUGGCCGGCCACACUGGGACUGGGAUACGGCCCAGACUCCAACGGUAGGCAGCAGUGGGGAAUAUUGCACAGUGGGCGGAAGCCUGAUGCAGCAACGCCGCGUGCGGGAUGACGGCCUUCGGGUUGUAAACCGCUUUCGCCUGUGACGAAGCGUGAGUGACGGUAAUGGGUAAAGAAGCACCGGCUAACUACGUG